GGGAAGGUGGCUCAGUGGUAGAGCACUUGCCUUGCAUGCAUGAAGCCCUGGGUUCAAUUCCUCAGCACCCCA
rnacentral:tRNA from 1 species